AUUUAUACCUUUUUUCGUAAAAAAUCUCGGGAAAAGGGUUCGUGCGUUCUUCCUCCAAAGCCAUUCAUGGAGUUCGUGGCACUCUCUAACGCUACCCAACUUGGGAGCUUCAACCCCCUUAGAACCAACCUUCAAAGUUCAACACAACACCCUCUUCCUUUUUCUUAUGUUUCUUUCCCUUCUUCCUCUCGCAGAGGUUGCUCUUGCAAAGCCAUCCUCAGCACUCACACACCCACCCACCUCUACCCACAACAUUUUUGGACCUCAUUCCGCUGAUUUUGAGCUCUCUGCUUUGACGGCUCUAUCCCCAUUGGAUGGUCGUUAUUGGGGAAAAGUUAAGGAACUGUCUCCUUUUCUGAGAGAAUAUGGCUUAAUAUGCUUUCGGGUUCUUAUUAAAUGGUUGCUGCAGCUGUCUCAGAUUCCUGAAAUUGUUGAGGUUCCCAGUUUCAGUGAAGGUGCUACAAUAUUUUUACAAGGCUUGAUUGAUGACUUUAGUGUUGAUGAUGCCUUGGAGGUUAAGAACAUUGAGAGGGUCACAAAUCAUGAUGUGAAAGCAGUGGAGUACUUCUUGAAACAGAAGUGCCAAUCCAAUGCAUAAGUGGUCAAGGUGCUUGAGUUUUUCCACUUUGCUUGCACAUCUGAGGAUAUAAAUAAUCUUGCACAUGCCUUGAUGCUGAAGGAAACAAUGAAUUCUGUCAUGGAUAAAAUAAUCAAAGCUUUGUGUGACAUAUCUGAAGAUAAUGCUCAUGUCCCGAUGCUUUCUCGCACUCAUGGACAGCCAGCUUCACCAACUACUUUGGGAAAAGAAAUGCAAUAUUUGCUAUGAGAUUAAGCAGAGAAAGGAAGGAACUGUCUCAGGUUGAGAAUAUUGGGGAAAUUUUCUGGUGCAGUUGGAAAUUACAAUGCACAUGUUGUUUCAUAUCCUGAAGUUAACUGGCCUCACAUUGCAGAACAGUUUGUACAAUCUCUUGGAUUAAGUUUUAAUCCUUAUGUUGCUCAGAUUGAAACUCAUGACUACAUGGCAAAGCUUUUUCAUUUGCUCAUCCAGUUCAAUAAUAUAUUGAUUGAAUUUGAUAGAGAUGUAUGGGGCUAUAUAUCUUUGGGUUACUUUAACCAGACCACUAAGGCUGGGGAGGUUGGGUCUUCAACUAUGCCUCACAAAGUGAAUCCUAUUGAUUUUGAGAACAGCGAAGGUAAUCUAGGUGUAGCUAAUGGAGGUCUGUCUCAUCUAAGCAUGAAGUUGCCAAUUUCGCAUUGGCAGAGGGACUUGACAGAUUCAACUGUCUUAAGGAACAUGGGUGUAGGCAUAGGGCAUUCUCUUCUUGCCUACAAAAGCACACUUCGAGAAAUAGGGAAGCUUCAGGUUAAUGAAGCUCGCUUGAGUGAAGACUUGAACCAGUGCUGGGAGGUGCUUGCUGAACCAAUACAGACUGUUAUGCGAAGAUAUGGUGUUUCCGAACCUUAUGAGAAGUUAAAAGAACUAACCAGAGGGAGAGCAGUUACCCAAAAGAGCAUAAGAGACUUCAUUGAAGGCUUAUAUAUUCCAGAAGAAGCAAAGAUGAAUCUGUUAAAGUUAACACCUGAUACUUAUGUUGGAGCAGCAGUUGAAUUGGCUAGAACAGUGAAAAAUGUCGUGAAUACUGUGUAUGGAAGAAAGAUCUAGGAAACAAACAAGUGGUUGAAGCAGUUUUCUCGAGAACUAUUGGCAAGACAAUUUUGCAUCCUCACCAUCAUUGACCAAAUGGUCAUUAAUUGAUAUAUGAACUUUUAAA